GAGGAAGAUAAACAAAACUGACCACAGCGAGAUUACUUCACAACCCUCUAGAUCACGUCCCAUAAUUCUUGGAGGGGGUGGGGAACUCAAGAAGAAAUUUGAAGAAAAUUAAUCACCCCUGGGGCAUGUCCAGAAUAUCUGACCAAAAGUCUUUUGAUGCAAGCCAAGUGUUUUCUUCAGUUGAGGAAAAACAAAAGUUCCUGAAUGGAAAAAUGGGGUUCCAGUGACUAUAUCUCAAUAUCUUUGGUCGUUCUUUUACUUCACUUGUUUUCAGUGAACACUUUCGCUCUGGUUAGCCAUCAAGUAAUAAGCUACAAAACACAAGGUUAUACAUAUUUGAGACAAUUUCCAGCAGGUGCCAAUGAUAAGAUGAAGCAGUACAGGCAAUUCAGCCCAAAUUCACUUGCAUCAAUGAAAAAUCUCCAUUAAUCCCAUAUGCCUUUAUAAAAGGAAGUGGCAGGCUUGGCUUGUAUGCCCACAUUGGUACCUGACCUCAUCAG